GAGGAUCUUCAUCAGGUAGUCGGUGAGAUCGCGGCCCGCCAGGUCCAGGCGCAUGAUGGCGUGCGGCAGCGCGUAGCCCUCAUAAAUGGGCACGUUGUGGGUCUCAAACAUGAUCUGGGUCAUCUUCUCGCGGUUGGCCUUGGGAUUGAGGGGGGCCUCGGUGAGCAGGGUGGGGUGCUCCUCGGGAGCCACGCGAAGCUCGUUGUAGAAGGUUUGGUGAUGAUGCCGUGCUCGAUAGGGUACUUCAGGGUCAGGAUACCUCUCUUGCUCUGAGCCUCGUCGCCCACGUAGGAAUCUUU
rnacentral:lncRNA from 1 species